UACGUAGGGUGCAAGCGUUGUCCGGAAUCACUGGGCUUAAAGCGUGUGUAGGCGGAUCUGUAAGUACCUUGUGAAAUCCCACGGCUCAACCGUGGAACUGCUUGGUAUACUGCGGGUCUUGAGCCACCUAGGGGCAAGUGGAACAAACGGUGGAGCGGUGAAAUGCGUAGAUAUCGUUUGGAACGCCAAUGGUGAAAACAACUUGCUGGGGGUGUGCUGACGCUGAGACACGAAAGCCAGGGGAGCAAACGGG
rnacentral:rRNA from 1 species